rnacentral:rRNA from 1 species
UGGACGAAGUCUGACGGAGCACGCCGCGUGAGUGACGAAGGCCUUCGGGUCGUAAAGCUCUGUUGUUAGGGAAGAACAAGUACCGUUCGAAUAGGGCGGUACCUUGACGGUACCUAACCAGAAAGCCACGGCUAACUACGUGCCAGCAGCCGCGGUAAUACGUAGGUGGCAAGCGUUGUCCGGAAUUAUUGGGCGUAAAGCGCGCGCAGGCGGUCUUUUAAGUCUGAUGUGAAAGCCCACGGCUCAACCGUGGAGGGUCAUUGGAAACUGGAGGACUUGAGUGCAGAAGAGGAGAGUGGAAUUCCACGUGUAGCGGUGAAAUGCGUAGAUAUGUGGAGGAACACCAGUGGCGAAGGCGGCUCUCUGGUCUGUAACUGACGCUGAGGCGCGAAAGCGUGGGGAGCAAACAGGAUUAGAUACCCUGGUAGUCCACGCCGUAAACGAUGAGUGCUAGGUGUUGGGGGGUUCCACCCUCAGUGCUGAAGUUAACACAUUAAGCACUCCGCCUGGGGAGUACGACCGCAAGGUUGAAACUCAAAGGAAUUGACGGGGGCCCGCACAAGCAGUGGAGCAUGUGGUUUAAUUCGAAGCAACGCGAAGAACCUUACCAGGUCUUGACAUCCUCUGACAAUCCUGGAGACAGGACGUUCCCCUUCGGGGGACAGAGUGACAGGUGGUGCAUGGUUGUCGUCAGCUCGUGUCGUGAGAUGUUGGGUUAAGUCCCGCAACGAGCGCAACCCUUGAUCUUAGUUGCCAGCAUUUAGUUGGGCACUCUAAGGUGACUGCCGGUGACAAACCGGAGGAAGGUGGGGAUGACGUCAAA